UCCCUACGGGGGGCAGCAGUGGGGAAUAUUGCACAAUGGGGGAAACCCUGAUGCAGCGACGCCGCGUGAGUGAAGAAGUAUUUCGGUAUGUAAAGCUCUAUCAGCAGGGAAGAUAAUGACGGUACCUGACUAAGAAGCUCCGGCUAAAUACGUGCCAGCAGCCGCGGUAAUACGUAUGGAGCAAGCGUUAUCCGGAUUUACUGGGUGUAAAGGGAGCGCAGACGGCUGUGCAAGUCUGGAGUGAAAGGCGGGUGCCCAACCCCCGGACUGCUCUGGAAACUUUAAAGCUGGAGUGCAGGAG
rnacentral:rRNA from 1 species